rnacentral:rRNA from 1 species
UACGUAGGUGGCAAGCGUUGUCCGGAUUUACUGGGCGUAAAGAGCGCGCAGGCGGUCGUUCAAGUCGCGUGUGAAAGCCCCCGGCUCAACUGGGGAGGGUCACGCGAUACUGACUCGACUCGAAGGCAGGAGAGGGUAGUGGAAUUCCCGGUGUAGUGGUGAAAUGCGUAGAUAUCGGGAGGAACACCUGCGGCGAAGGCGGGUUGCUGGGCUGACACUGACGCUGAGGCGCGAAAGCUAGGGGAGCGAACGGG